rnacentral:rRNA from 1 species
CAUGCAAGUCGAACGGUGAUGCUCCAGCUUGCUGGAGUGGAUCAGUGGCGAACGGGUGAGUAACACGUGAGCAACCUGCCCCAGACUCUGGAAUAAGCGCUGGAAACGGCGUCUAAUACUGGAUACGAAACUGGCCCGCAUGGGCAUGGUUUGGAAAGUUUUUCGGUUUGGGAUGGGCUCGCGGCCUAUCAGCUUGUUGGUGAGGUAAUGGCUCACCAAGGCGACGACGGGUAGCCGGCCUGAGAGGGCGACCGGCCACACUGGGACUGAGACACGGCCCAGACUCCUACGGGAGGCAGCAGUGGGGAAUAUUGCACAAUGGGCGAAAGCCUGAUGCAGCGACGCCGCGUGAGGGAUGACGGCCUUCGGGUUGUAAACCUCUUUCAGCAGGGAAGAAGCGAAAGUGACGGUACCUGCAGAAGAAGCACCGGCUAACUACGUGCCAGCAGCCGCGGUAAUACGUAGGGUGCGAGCGUUGUCCGGAAUUAUUGGGCGUAAAGAGCUUGUAGGCGGUUUGUCGCGUCUGCUGUGAAAAUCCGGGGCUCAACCCCGGACUUGCAGUGGGUACGGGCAGACUAGAGUGUGGUAGGGGAGACUGGAAUUCCUGGUGUAGCGGUGAAAUGCGCAGAUAUCAGGAGGAACACCGAUGGCGAAGGCAGGUCUCUGGGCCACUACUGACGCUGAGAAGCGAAAGCAUGGGGAGCGAACAGGAUUAGAUACCCUGGUAGUCCAUGCCGUAAACGUUGGGCGCUAGGUGUGGGACUCAUUCCACGAGUUCCGUGCCGCAGCUAACGCAUUAAGCGCCCCGCCUGGGGAGUACGGCCGCAAGGCUAAAACUCAAAGGAAUUGACGGGGCCCGCACAAGCGGCGGA